GUAAACACACAGCCAGGUAACCAUACAGAUCACAGACAGGUAACCACACAGCCAGGUAACCAUACAGAUCACAGACUGGUAACCACACAGCCAGGUAACCACACAGCACACAGACAGGUAACCACACAGACAGGUAACCACACAGCACACAGACUGGUAACCACACAGCCAGGUAACCACACAGCACACAGACUGGUAACCACAGAGCACACUGCCAGGUAACCACACAGCACACAGACUGGUAACCACAGAGCACACUGCCAGGUAACCACACAGCCAGGUAACCACACAGCCAGGUAACUACACAGCACACAGACAGGUAACCACACAGCACACAGACAGGUAACCACACAGCACACAGACAGGUAACCACACAGCCUAGGUAGGAUAAGCAGAGCCCUAUUGACCAGGAGGACAAUCGGGGUUUGAAAGUUGACACAGACCCAUUAAUCACAGUAAACCCCGGCUCAUAAAGUCAUGGUUUGAUGAGCUCUG